UUUGCAAAAAUGAUCAAUUAUAAGGACUAAAUUGAAAUUUUACAUAUUGUGAUGGAUGAUUGAUUUGAUGGGCCCAGGAGGGGCUGUGUGAUGUGAUUGAGUUGUGGAUAUAUGGAUUGUGGAUAUAGAAGUGUGUUUUGAGCCCUUUUACAGGUUGGGUAGGUCCUAGGUAUAGGGGAGACUCUGCCGGAUUUUCGGCAUGACUUAGGACGUAUUGGGUCUUUUCUUGAUUUGUAUUGAGUCAUUUGUAUUAAAUGAUUGUAAUAAAAUUGUCAGGUGAGCCGGGACAGCCUUCUUCCUCCGCCCAGCCGCCUCAGUGACCACCGUCAAGUCUGCUACAGGAGGAUUUUAUUUUUGGUUAACCUGCUUUUCUCCUUCGCAGGUUGUUUAUCAAUAUUUGUGUAAUUUUAUUUACUCCUAGAAUUUCCGCAUGUGUUAGAAGUAUUUAUUUGAUUAUGGUCUGUAAUAUUAUUAUCAUGUUGGACCUGUAAACGUAUAAUGAUAUGUAUGUUUGAUGGAUUGGAUGAGGGAGCUGAGCUCCCAUUUAUUUUUAUGAGGAUAUGAGUAUGUGGAGGGUGAGCUGAGCUCCCCAAUUGAGUA